ACGGAGGGUGCAAGCGUUGUUCGGAAUCACUGGGCGUAAAGGGCGCGCAGGCGGUUUGACAAGUCAGAUGUGAAAGCCCAUGGCUUAACUCUGGAAGUGCAUUUGAAACUGUCAGACUUGAGUAGCAGAGGGGAAGGUGGAAUUCCCGGUGUAGAGGUGAAAUUCGUAGAGAUCGGGAGGAAUACCAGUGGCGAAGGCGACUUUCUGGCUGAAAACUGACGCUGAGACGCGAAAGCGUGGGGAGCAAACAG
rnacentral:rRNA from 1 species